rnacentral:rRNA from 1 species
AAAUUGAAGAGUUUGAUCAUGGCUCAGAUUGAACGCUGGCGGCAGGCCUAACACAUGCAAGUCGAACGGUAACAGGAAGAAGCUUGCUUCUUUGCUGACGAGUGGCGGACGGGUGAGUAAUGUCUGGGAAACUGCCUGAUGGAGGGGGAUAACUACUGGAAACGGUAGCUAAUACCGCAUAAUGUCGCAAGACCAAAGAGGGGGACCUUCGGGCCUCUUGCCAUCGGAUGUGCCCAGAUGGGAUUAGCUAGUAGGUGGGGUAACGGCUCACCUAGGC